rnacentral:rRNA from 1 species
AGAGUUUGAUCCUGGCUCAGGAUGAACGCUGGCGGCGUGCCUAACACAUGCAAGUCGAGCGAUCUUCUUCGGAAGAGAGCGGCGGACGGGUGAGUAACGCGUGGGUAACCUGCCUCAUACACAUGGAUAACAUACCGAAAGGUAUGCUAAUACAAGAUGAUAUAAGAGAUUCGCAUGGAUUUCUUAUCAAAGCUCCGGCGGUAUGAGAUGGACCCGCGUCUGAUUAGCUAGUUGGUAAGGUAACGGCUUACCAAGGCGACGAUCAGUAGCCGACCUGAGAGGGUGAUCGGCCACAUUGGAACUGAGACACGGUCCAAACUCCUACGGGAGGCAGCAGUGGGGAAUAUUGCACAAUGGGCGAAAGCCUGAUGCAGCAACGCCGCGUGAGCGAUGAAGGCCUUCGGGUCGUAAAGCUCUGUCCUCAAGGAAGAUAAUGACGGUACUUGAGGAGGAAGCCCCGGCUAACUACGUGCCAGCAGCCGCGGUAAUACGUAGGGGGCUAGCGUUAUCCGGAUUUACUGGGCGUAAAGGGUGCGUAGGUGGUUUCUUAAGUCAGGAGUGAAAGGCUACGGCUCAACCGUAGUAAGCUCUUGAAACUGGGAAACUUGAGUGCAGGAGAGGAAAGUGGAAUUCCUAGUGUAGCGGUGAAAUGCGUAGAUAUUAGGAGGAACACCAGUGGCGAAGGCGGCUUACUGGACGGUAACUGACGUUGAGGCUCGAAAGCGUGGGGAGCAAACAGGAUUAGAUACCCUGGUAGUCCACGCCGUAAACGAUGAGUGCUAGGUGUUGGGUCCUUUCCGGGACUCAGUGCCGCAGCUAACGCAUUAAGCACUCCGCCUGGGGAGUACGACCGCAAGGUUGAAACUCAAAGGAAUUGACGGGGGCCCGCACAA